rnacentral:tRNA from 1 species
GUAAUUUGGUCGAGUGGUAAGGACACUUGCCUCUCACUCUGGAGUCGCAGGUUCGAUGCCUGGUCGAGGAGCU